rnacentral:rRNA from 1 species
UACGUAGGGGGCUAGCGUUGUUCGGAAUUACUGGGCGUAAAGGGCGCGUAGGCGGCCUGCUAUGUCGAACGUGAAAUCCCCGGGCUCAACCCGGGAACUGCGUCCGAAACUGGCAGGCUUGAAUCCGGGAGAGGGAUGUGGAAUUCCAGGUGUAGCGGUGAAAUGCGUAGAUAUCUGGAGGAACACCGGUGGCGAAGGCGGCUAUCUGGACAGAGUCUGACGCUGAGGCGCGAAAGCUAGGGGAGCAAACAGA